GUCAGUGUAUAAGACUUGCUGGCGUUUGAUUCAAAGUUUUUGCGAUACUGGUUUUUUCCAUGUGCAAUCUUCGAUUCAAAUAGUUUCGCGGGGGGUUUCCCCGUUUUUAGUUAAGGAAGUAAUACACAUGGCAACUGGUACAGUAAAAUGGUUCAACGACGCAAAAGGUUUUGGUUUUGUUACUCCGGAUGAUGGCAGCGAAGAUUUGUUUGCACAUUUUUCCGCAAUUAACAUGAGUGGCUUCAAGUCUCUUCAAGAGGGCCAAAAGGUUACCUUUGAAGUGACACAAGGUCCUAAAGGUAAGCAAGCAUCCAAUAUUCAAGCUCCUUAAUCGGUUCUUGAUUUAAUAAAAAGGCCCGGCAUGAAACUGCCGGGCCUUUUUA
rnacentral:sRNA from 1 species